rnacentral:rRNA from 1 species
GACGAACGCUGGCGGCGCGUCUAACACAUGCAAGUCGAACGGAGUCAAGAGGAGCUUGCUUUUCUUGACUUAGUGGCGAACGGGUGAGUAACGCGUGAGUAACCUGCCCUGGAGUGGGGGACAACAGUUGGAAACGACUGCUAAUACCGCAUAAGCCCACGGAUCCGCAUGGAUCUGCGGGAAAAGGAUUUAUUCGCUUCAGGAUGGACUCGCGUCCAAUUAGCUAGUUGGUGAGGUAACGGCCCACCAAGGCGACGAUUGGUAGCCGGACUGAGAGGUUGAACGGCCACAUUGGGACUGAGACACGGCCCAGACUCCUACGGGAGGCAGCAGUGGGGGAUAUUGCACAAUGGGGGAAACCCUGAUGCAGCGACGCCGCGUGGAGGAAGAAGGUUUUCGGAUUGUAAACUCCUGUCGUGAGGGACGAUAAUGACGGUACCUAACAAGAAAGCACCGGCUAACUACGUG